rnacentral:lncRNA from 1 species
GACAAAACAGAGGCAAUGAACAUCAUACUAUUCUGUCAGUAGGGCAAGGCAAACUCAGUGUACCUGUCUCCCCGCUGGGGUUGCCAGAUAAAACCCAGGAUGCCUAGUGAUGUCGGAAUGGUUUAUCAGUAUGAAUACGCCUCAUGCAAUAUUUGGGACACACUAAAAAGAUUUUAUUUGUUUUGUAUCUGAAAUGUGAAUUUUAACUGGCCACACUGUAUUUUUAUUUACUACCCUGGGCAGCCCUUCUCUGUGGAAUUCUGGGCCCUCGUGCCCUUGGAGCUACUUUGGAGACCUGUGCUUCUUUUCUUUCCAUUUUACAGGGAAAUGGCAAGCAUUCUCAGGACAAUGACUCAUCUGGGUCCCUCAGGAGAUACUGUGUGGAGGAAACAGAAUCGACUAGAAGCCUUCUCAGCACUAGAUGCCACCUGACCGCCACACGGCCAUAUUUGUUCCACAGUCUCCCUUGGGGAAGAAGGACGAUCCGAACAAAACCAGGGAGAGUCCUGCAUGCCUGCGGCGUUUUGGCUGUCCUGGAGCACCUGUAAACAACUGGCAGACGCGGCCCGAGAUAAGAGAACAUUCCCGGGGCCGAGAACAAGUUCUUACGCCGUGCAAGAACAUGUGUGCCUUCCGCAGCAAGGCUCUGCCCGCCUCCCCGGCAGGCUGGCGGAGGCCUGGCAGACCUCACUGUAAGUCUCCCGGGGAAUCCCAGGUGUGAGUGGUCACCUGUCCUUCUUUCCAGGUUCUGCAGCUUCUGCAAAGGGAACUGCUCUCGAGGCCAGGGGCGGCAGCUCCCCACGGAGGCCCUCACGUCCUGUGAUACCGGCGCUUGCACGCUGCGGCUCCAGUCACCCUUAAAUCAUGCGUGAGUUACUGUCGCCGCUGCUCAGACGCCUUCCUGGAAAUGGAAUCCACGCUGCCCAGGACACAUGCGACAGACGUAUCCAGGCCUGGCUGGUGCCUGGGCUUCCCUGCAGAGCGGAAACGUGUGAGAGAGAGAGAGAGCUGUCAAAGAAAAAACUGCACCAGACUGUGGGUGACAGUCGAGGGCAAACUUUAUUCAAAGCACCAAAUGCAAUGAAGGGGCCACAAUGAUGAAAGAAGUUGUUGAUGUGAGAGGAGUGGGGUGUGUGGGGAGUGAGGUCUAUGAGAACCUCUUAUAUUUUUUAAUGUACCAUUUUUUGUGAUCUGUGUAUCUUUAAAAAAAAUGCAAUUAAACAAAUAAAGAAAGAAAAAGCUCUAUGCAGGAAAGAAGAAAAAAAUAAAGCAAAAAAUAAAAGCUCUAUGCAGAGGCUAAGGCAGUAGGGGAGAGAGAGGGCU